rnacentral:lncRNA from 1 species
CCGUAACGAACCUCCAACGAAUCCGCCGUGCCUUGGACCGCAGCUAGCACCUCGGCCGAUCCUCUAGGUGAUUAUAAAAUAGGGCACCGAACGCUAACCCCCAUCCCCCUCACGCCACGCACAAAUCCAUCAUCACCGGCGAGGGCAGUGUCGGACUGUGUGCCGCCGCCGUCGAUCCUCGGCCCUGACUCCGUUGAGGACUCGAAGUUGGGAGGUAGAGUUUCGCCAUUGCUCCUGUCGGGUGUUCGUGGCGGGAUUGGGCGAGACCGGCCAUUGGAGCGACCGCAAUUGCUCACCGACGAUCGCGACGAGCCCCAGAUCCGCCCAUUACCGCGAUUAGCACCAAUCAGACGUCCAUUUGCGGUAAGAUGCAUACCAGUGUGUUCGUCAUACCCUGUUCUCCGUAUAACCUCGAGCCACAAUAGAAUAGGAGCACUGUGUGGCUGAAUCGCCCAACUCCAGCGAUCCCCCGCCAUGGAUGGUGGCGGCGCCGCCAUCGGGUAGCCUGUUAGGGGAGGGCGAAGUUCGAGCGUUGAUCUGAUGAUGAACGGUUCAGAUUUGGUCCUGUUAUACUAGUUCGGGCGGGAGGUCCAGGCCAUUGGGAUCCGAUCGGGUGGAUCUGGGGGGCUCUGAGUUAUUUAAAUCUGCACCGUUAGAUUUUGAUCGGGCGGCCCACGUUGAACGAUACCCCUUCGCCCAACCCUUUUGCUAAAGAGUCCCUGACUAAAGUAGAAAUCAACCCGCAGUCCUGCGCGUGCUAAGAAACCUGUACCCUGAGCCUUAGAAACUUUGCAAGAUAGCCCCUGAACUCUUCUGUAUUAUUGUGCGCAGUCUAGGGUCUUGUUAAAGGGAAUAAAAAUUAUAGAAAAUGAGUUUUUAUAUUAAAACAAUUAUAGAAACUUGUUUAAAUCAUAAUAAAUCCAUUUUAACUCCUUUUUGAUCCAUUCUAGUUGCAUUAAUUUUGUAUUAAUAUUGUCUAUAAACUAGUAACUCUUUUAUUCAUGAAACAUAGACUAAAAUUAUUCAUUUGGCUUAGUCUAUAUCAACCACUUAAUAACUUCGAAAAUUCAUAACUCGAUAACUGUAACUCCGAAUUUAAUGAUUCUUGUUGCUACGAUUUCGUUACGAUGCGUAGAAUAUUAUUAUGUAGUAUGAUCUCAUGUUUGGUGUGAUGUUAAUUUCUCCUGUAUCAUGUUUGUUUGUAUUGUUGCGAGUAGAUGAGCAAGCCACUGAGGACCCCGGUGUUCAGUAGGUGGAUAAUUCUGAGCAUGAGCUUGUUGAAGGCAAGUUGUGCCCUUGAUCACUUUUAUUUACCUAAUAAUGUUCUCUUUAAUCACUAUGGCAUGUUUAGGCUUAAUUUUGAUGGGACCCAAUAGGUCACCCUAGUCUGCUUUAUCUUGUGCCUUGAUCACCACUGAACAUGUUUGGGUAGUCUUGCUAUUGCUAUAUAUGGUUUUGGGUGUUGAGAUAAAUUUGACAAAUGAUCAUUAUUUAUUAUUGCUGUUGAUUAGUUAUUGUUCAUGAUAAGAUUACUGUGUUAAUUGGAACAUGGAGAACCACCCGGAAAAAUAGUGCUACCACAAAGGUGGAAUAGGACACCCUUGGCCAAGUAAUUAGGAAAACUAGGGAGAGAUUACCUUACCUGAAAGGGGCAAGAGGGGAGGCGUCAUUGCAGAGUAUAGGGAGGUUCUCGGGUCGGAUUGCCUGGCUUUCCGGACGGGGGAUUCCUAUGCUUCCUUCUUCCUGAAUUCGUAGCGGGUUUUCUCGAACUAGUGGAACUUUGGAAAGGCCUCAUAGUGCUUCCCUGCCUCGUCUCCUCGGUAGAGAUGAAUGGGAAGUCACGAUCCCUUGGCAAAUGGGUAACAUGACUUGUGAGUAUGUGCAACCUCUGCAUAGUGUAAAACUGGUAUAUCAGUCGUGUUGAUGGUCAUGAGCGGCUUGGACACUCACGUGAUUAAUUUAUGGAAGUUAAAUUUAAUUUGUCAUUUGCAUCGCAUUGUGGUUUAUUAUUAACUUUGAUCUAUUAUUACUUUGGGUUGGUAUUUACUUACAUUUAGUAACUACUAAUAAAAUUUGACCAACUUAUUAAAAGCAAUGCUCAGCUUUAACCAUUAUUGUUGAUCAGCCUUACACUUCACAUGAGCUCCCACCUUUGGUGAGUUCAUGCACAUGGUUCCUCACAACUUGUGGAGCUAUGAUCUUUUGUGAGCUCACUCUUGCGAUAUAUAAACCACCCUCCCCCCACAAGUGAAGAGUAGGUGGUCCAAGAGGAGCCCUACAACGAGAAAUAUGAGCUUAUCUAGGUGGCAUCUUUCAGUCAGCUUAAUGGCGCCAAGUAAUAAUACUUAGUUCGCUUUAUUGUUCUCAUUUAUUUAUGUAAGACUUCUGCUAUGUAAUAAUGAUACUUGUGACAUUAUUCUCUAUACACUUUGUCAUUAUAUGUGGUGUUCUUCUUUGGCACACAUAUGAAACGUACCCGGCUUUACCCCUUAAAUCCGGGUGUGACGAAAGUGGUAUCGUAGGAAAUGUUGACUGUAGGACGAAACCUAGAUAGAACUGGACAAAACCCUUACCUACUUACCUUUACUCUGAUUCUUUCUAUACUUUUCUUUAUCAUGUCUCACCUUUUGUUGUUCUACUUUGACUAUUCUUAUCUUUUCUACUCUAGAAAGACAAGGAGGAUUUCAGACCUUGGAAUCCUACAUUUAUGACCUGUUGGGGACUUGUUCUCAAAUGCUAUGAAUUAAGAACAAGGCAACACAAAUGUUAAUGGUUAAAGACCUUCGUCCUUCGAAGCAUUACUUCCCUUAGGAUAUAAUGAUCUUCAGACGAAGGUCAUUGUCGGAGAGUAGAUCUCCGGCGGGGUGGCGGAGUGCACCCGCCCUAAAUCCUGAGAUGUGGAGGGGCUUAGGCGUUUUGCUUGAUCGUUGGUAUGAACGGGAAGAACGCAAGAACACAUAAGGAUUUAGAGUGGUUCGGGCCGCCGGAGCGUAAUACCCUACUCCACUGUGAGAUGUAUUGCCUGUGAGCUUGUAUGAGCUUGCGAGACUGUGGUGUGAUCUAAGAUUGCGUGUGUGUGUGUAACGUCGCAUGCCUCCCCUUUUAUAGCUGAAGGGGGCAUGCACAAAGGGACUGGGCCCCGACAUGUGGGCCCAGGGACAUAAAGAAUAUAGUGCUUGGAUCCUCUAAUGUCUGUUGCCGAGGAAAUCUUCUUGUGCCCUGACGCCCGAGAUCUACGUAUCCUUGGCGUACAGGGGAAGCUUCUUGUGAAAAGAGAAGAUGAUUACAGCGCGCCGCUCGGUACGGGCGCACUGUCCUCCAAUAGACCCAGCAUGCGUGCCGCCUGCUGGAUGACCUUGCCACCGCCUGCCAGUGGAUGGGACGGGACGCAAUAAAUGCUGAGAGGGCACGUCGCCCGUCAGCGCGGUGGCAGGCGGCGCAUCUUUUCCUCAAUAAAUGCAGGGGCUGCACGACUUCUCGUCAGGUUCGCCCCGGUAGCUUAUGUUAUGGGCCACAAGCAGCGGGUCUCCGCCUGAGCGGGAAGUGGAGGGCAGGGCCCACACACGUCUCAGCACCAAACCCCUGCACAUACCAGGGUCCUCCUCGUUCUGGGACCCUACUGGAGUUCGGACCUACCCGGAGGCUCCGGACUCAUAUGUAUAGGGGUCCGGUGUCCUUCUGUGGGGGUCCGGACUUACUUGGAUGUGGUGUCUUUCCUUGCCACGUGGCGCCCUUUGGCCUGGGGUCAGGCGCCGUCCUCCGCGUGGCUAGGAGACGUCGCAUGGGUGCGGCGUCUUCAUGCUGUAGGAGAGGGUACCCCUGAUUUAGGGUACCGACAGUGGCCCCUGGUCCUGCUUCAGGGGAGGAUGCGAGCCUGCAGGUGGAGCCAGAGUCUGAUUGGCGGUUGGACCGCUGCUCCCGCGCGCCUGUUGCUGCAAUUACUGUCGACCCGCCUAUGGCCAUGCCAACUCCCGUGCCUAUUCCCACGGCUGACUGACCCAUGACCGUCGUACUUAACGGCACUGUUGGGCCAUGCGUGGGGCUGCCUCGAGUCGCUGCACUGGUUCUGAGAAAUUUACCCUUUUAGAAACCCGUGACAGCCCCGAGAAGACGUGGCAUUGGCGCAAACGACGGUGCAGUUUUUUGCACACGGUAACCGGCGCGCCGGUUACAUGACAUGUGGGCCUGGGACCCUAAGUUGGGCCGCCAGCUGCGGUGGAGCUGAGGGAGCGCACAGUCGUGGGACGGUUGUACGCUUCUUGCGCGGCGGUUCGCCUCUUUGACCGCUGGAUACGACGAAGACGAAGGGGCGCUUAAUCGUGGGGCGGUUGCAAGCCCCUUGUACUGCGGUUCGCCUUCCUGACUGCUGGUCACCCCAAAAAUGAAGGGGCCCGUAACUGUAGGCCAGUUGCAUGCUCCUUCUUAGGGUUAGUUCGCAUGACAUGUGGGGCCUGGCCCCCGUGUCAUAAGGUGAGAUCCUUGGCGCACGCCAGGGGAGACUUCACCCGCGACGCUUCAGGGGUGCGAGCGGGGGAUCUGCCUUUAAAAAGGGGUCGAUCACCCGGGCAAUAGUCAUGCCUCGCUCCUCUUGCGACCACCGCACCUCUUCGCCUUCCGGGCCUCCAGAUGGGGUGCGCCGAUGUAGCGCAGUUCAUUCCUGCAGAAAUGGAGCUAGGGUCCCGCUUUUAAGGGAAUGUAAUGACAUUUGCUUGAGAGCAAAAUGUAAUAACAUAUGUAUGCAGGAUUUUAGCCUGGGAAGCCCAGUUGUGUGUCCGAACCCCCUAGAUGGUGGUUUCAAGUACUAAGACACCUGCCGCAGGGCGGUGGAGUAUGCAGGCUCACGGUACGGGACCAGGCUGAGCGGCUACAUGGCUCCCGGACCCCUCCAGGAGACAAGUGCCCGUUCUUCAGAGCCGGACCUCCAGGUUGUUGGAUGCACAGGACUUUAGUUUUAAAUACUAGGAUACCCGUCAUGGAGUGGUGGAGUGUGCAGGAUUUUGGGUACGGAACCAGGCUAACCGGCCACACAAGCUCCGGACCACCCUAUAGAACGGGCAUCCGUUCUUUAGAACCGGCCCCCAGGCCUUCCCCUGUUUUUGUAAAGUAAUAGAUAUUAUAUAUUAAGCAGUAUUUAACACUUAUCUGUGUGACGCCUGUUCCUAUUGUGUGCGAUGUUGUUGACUCCUUAGUACCUGCCCCCCCCCCGCCUGGGAUGCAGGCUUGAUGUGUUGAGGUUGGAUACCAGCGUUUCUGAAAAGGUUGUCAACAAUCCUCGGGAGGCAACCUCGUCGGGAUCUAGAUCUGUACAAAACUUUUAGCUAGGAAGCAUUAGUUGUACACCUCAUAGGGUUCUCCGUCUGACAUUAGUCAUCCUUUGAUACAUGCUCGGGACUUGCAGGUUUUAGUCCGGAUGGCCAAGUUGCAUGUCUGGACCCCCUUGGGUCGCGGUUCUAGAUACUAGGGCACUUGUCGCAGGGCGGCGGAGCGUGCAGGCCCACGGUACGGGACCAGGCUGAGCGGUUGCACGGGCUCCGGACCACGCCAGGAGACCAAUGUCUGUUCUCUAGCUCCGGUCCCGAGGUUGCCGGACUCGCAGGACUUAUAACUCUAGAUACUUAGUCCCCAUCACGGGGUGGUGGAGCAUGUAGGCCCACGGUACAGGACCUGGCUGAGCGGCUACACGGGCUCCGGACCACCCUAUGGAACGGGGUCCCGUUCUCUAGAGCCAGCCCCCAGGCUGUCGGACCUCCCUACUUUCGUGUCAGGGGCCCUAACUGCAAGCCUGGCUGUUCAAUUCGGGUGUCGCCAUGUCAGACAGAUGGAAACCGUACGGGUGGGUUAGCUGAAAGGUAUUAUCUGAAAGACUGCAAGGUAGGACCAUGGAGCAGCAAGAUUGAACUAUCACAAGAGCACAGCUGAGGGGGAGCUAUUUCCAUUUUAUAACUUGUCGUGCAUGUGUGCAGACCAAUAGGCCGGGUUCAUGGUGGCAGACCCCACCGGGUUGUUGUACACAUAUGCGUUUUCUAGCUACAAAGAAGGGAAACAGACUCGACCUCUUAGCCUUGCUCUAUGGAUAGAACUUACAGAGAUGUUUGUCAUCGGGAUAAGGUGCUCCUCCAGUCGUAGCUAGAUGGUUGGCCCUGGGUCGGCGCACUCCCGUUACUUUGAAGGGUCCUUCCCAGCUGGGGGAGAGUUGCGGAGCCCUCCUUGGUAUGGAACUUGUCGUGGGGCUAGGUCCCGACCCAGGGUUCCCGUCUGCAUUUGACACGGGAGCCCUCGUCUCUAGCUGUGGUCUCUUCUGCAUGUACCUGUCUGCAGCUCGGACCCGUGGGGGUCCAGAAGGGCCUCCGAAGGAAGGCGUGCUUCAUCUCCGUAGGCCGAGGAACACGGGGUCCCUCCAAGGACCGUCUAGUUGUCUUCACCGGAGUAGGAGCCUCCGGCGAAGAUAUCCUUUAGGUCCCCCUCGGGUGACUGAUACCCGAGGUCCCGCUCAACCGCGGCUACCUCGCCGUCGUCCACCUUCUCUUUGCCGGGCCGGCAGGGAGCCGUCUUUGGAAGACUGCUCGCGCCGCUCGCUGACGCAUUUUGCGAGGUCAAUGAUCUCGCGACACUCCGCGGCGCUGUGGCGACCAUGCGAGUGCACAGGGCAUGAACCGCUGCUACCCUUAUGCGGCCGCGGGCGUUUGGUGUGGUCGCCCUAGCCUCCAGUCACUACUGUGACCACCAGAGCGGUGGACCGUGGCUUCUGAUAGUCGCGGUCCUUCUUUUUCUUAUUUCCGUCUCGGAGGACGGCCCCCGAGCCACCUGACUGGGCAGCUCCAGUUUGUGGGGCUGAGUGUCAUGCACGGCCCUCGGCGGCUCUGGCGCACUUGUUGGCCAGAGCGAAGAGCGUGGGGACAGUUUCCACGUCAUGUGUGGCCAACUUCUCCAACAUUUUUUUGUCACGUGAAGGCUGUGAUGAUAGAAGCAUCAGAAAUACGAGGUAUCAUACCUUGCACUUUGGUGAAGCGGGAGAUGAACUUCCGGAGGGUCUCCCUGGCUCCUGCCUCACUGCAUGGAGGUGGGCCUCCACACCAUGCUGUUGGUAAGCACUGGCGAAGUUCGCCACGAACCGCGCACAGAGCUCUUCCCAGGAGUAGACUGAUCCCGGGGUGAUGUUCAUGAGCCAGGUCUGGGCAGGUCCAGACAAGGCCACAUGAAAAUAUGUUGCCAUCACAGUGGUGUUUCCACCUGCUGCCGUGAUGGCGGUAACGUACACCUGCAGGAACUCCGACGAGUUUGAUGUUCUGUCGUAUUUUUCCGGCAGGUGCGACCGGAACUUGGGUGGCCAAGACGCCGCGCGGAGAUGAUGUGCCAGUGCGGCGCAGCCCACUCCGGCCAAGGAGACACCCGUUUGGGACCGGGUGCCCAUUGGCGUCUGCGGCGCAACCGCAGCGAAGUCUUGAUCGAGGUCGCGUCCAUCGAUGUUUCGGCGGCGCUCGCGCGCCCUAUCCAAGGACACCCGAGCGUCUUCUCCCGCACACCUGCGGUUGAGUUCUGCCCGGAGGUCGUUGGUCUGUGCGCCCCUUACUGAGGUCAAGCGCACCGAUGCUGAUGCCUCGUGUUGACGCCGGGAUGACCGCGUCUUCGACCUGGGCAAGGUAGAAUGCGCCAUACUGAGCAGUCGGUCGAUGUCGUCCCGCCAUUGCUUCAUGGCUCCUGGUGAAGCCGUGGAGCUUGGAGGGUGUCACAACAACUCCCUGGCUGCUGACAACGCCCCCGGAGACGCCCUUGAUGGAGUCCAAGAUGUUUGCGCUACCGUGUGCUGCCGUGCGGCGUGCACAGCAGGAGUGACUGGUGCCGGGCGACUGGGAGCCUACGGUGUGGAGGAAGCAGCUUCUCCCUCCACCGCAAAAUCUACCAAAGUCUCGGCACGAUGCUCAAUGAUCUGCACCAUCAUGCUUGGGCAAGGGAUCAAGCGAAAACCUAAUGCCUAGGCCCCUACCUGGUGCGCCAAAUGUCGGAGAGUAGAUCUCCGACCGGGUGGCGGAGUGCACCCGCCCUAAAUCCUGAGAUGAGGAGGGGCUUAGGCGUUUUGCUUGAUCGUUGGUAUGAACGGGAAGAACGCAAGAACACACAAGGAUUUAGAGUGGUUCAGGCCAUCGGAGCGUAAUACCCUACUCCACUGUGAGAUGUAUUGCCUAUGAGCUUGUAUGAGCUUGCGAGACUGUGGUGUGAUCUAAGAUUCGUGUUUGUGUGUAACGUCGCAUGCCUCCCCUUUUAUAGCUGAAGGGGGGCAUGCACAAAGGGACUGGGCUCCGACAUGUGGGCCCAGGGACAUAAAGAAUAUAGUGCUUGGAUCCUCUAAUGUCUGUUGCCGAGGCAAUCUUCUUGUGCCCUGACGCCCGAGAUCUGCGUAUCCUUGGCGUACAAGGGAAGCUUCUUGCGGAAAGAGAAGACGAUUACAGCGCGUCGCUCGGUACGGGCGCACUGUCCUCCAACAGACCUAGUAGGCGCGCCGCCUGCUGGAUGACCUUGACACCGCCUGUCAGCGGAUGGGACGGGACGCAAUAAAUGCUGAGAGGGCACGUCGCCCGUCAGUGCGGUGGCAGGCGGUGCGUCUUUUCCUCAAUAAAUGCAGGGGCUGCACGACUUCUCGUCAGGUUCGGCCCGGUAGCUUUUUUUAUGGGCCACAAGCAGCGGGUCUCCGCCUGAGCGGGAAGUGGAGGGCAGGGCCCGCACACGUGUCAGCACCGGACCCCUGCACAUACCAAGGUCCUCCUCGUUCCGGGACCCUACUGGAGUUUGGACCUACCCGGAGGCUCCGGACUCAUAUGUAUAGGGGUCCGGUGUCCUUCUAUGGGGGUCCGGACUUACUGGGAUGUGGUGUCUUUCCUUGCCACGUGGCACCCUUUGGCCUGGGGUCAGGCGUCGUCCUCCGCGUGGCUAGGAGACGUCGCAUGGGUGCGGCGUCUUCAUGCUGUAGGAGAGGGUACCCCUGAUUUAGGGUACCGACAGUCAUGAAGGACGUACCUUCAUCAUCUCAAUACAUAAUGAAAAGCGGGAUCAUAUGACACAUAUAAAUAAAACAUGAAUAAUCAUCUGAUAUCAUUAUACUUUUAUAUUCUCAUUAUAUAAUCAUGAAUAGACAUCAACAAUAUUGAAUUAUAUUUAUACCUUCGGCUUGACAGAAGGUGGGAAUCCAAGUGUGACGUGCGAGUGAAUCCAAGUCAGCGUGAACAGUACGGUGCUACUAUUCAUCUAUUUAUAGGCAUAGGACGCAGCCUGUGUAAAAUUACAUCCAUGCCCUUGAUAUUUACUAUUGACUUAAGGACAAUCUAUCGAGGACUAGAUAGCCUUUUUCCUUUAGGUCGGUUUCAUUUUCCACCGCUAAGCCGAAGCUUCUCCACGCGUAGCUUCGGAACUGGUUCAUCCUUCUUCUAGACCACGCUUUUCAUAUUGUGUACAGCUUCAUCCCAAGGCAGAAGGUCCCUGUGAAUGUAUUGUACUUGGAAAACAUGUUAGUCGCGUUUUUGAGGACCUUCGGAAGAUGAAGGCCCCCAACAUGACCCUUUAAAGAGAUAGGAAACCUAAGACAAAAUUAAAAUUAUUUUCUCUACCUGAAGUGAUUGGAUGUUUGUUCUUAUGGUAAUUGUUUGAUUUACUCCUUUGAUUGAAUUAGUAUAGCAAGGCAUUCUAGCAUGUACCACCAAAAGAUAAUGUAUUAGCAUUAGUAGGUGACACACUAAUCUACUUAGCAAAUAAAACCCCUAAAACAUCAUGUCUCGUAAUUACUCCUCUUGUCUACAAUUCUAUCUUACCAUGUGUUUCUAACCUAGAUGGUCAAUACCAGGAAGGGAGGCGGAAUCGAUCUACCUGCCAACACCCACAACAGGAGGAUUGUUAGACAACCGCAACCUGAAAUAAAUCCUAUGAAUCCUCCACCAGCUGGGAUAGAUCUAGUGGUUGCAGCUCAGAUGCAGAUGCUGCAACAGAUGGCAAAUACUAUGAUGGAAAUGCAAGCUCAGAUGCGGCAGGAACGUCAAGAGAUGUGCCAGGAGCGUCAAGAAAUGCGCUAAGAGCGUCAAGAGAUGCGACAGGAAAUGAGGCAAGAGCGAAUGGAACGACAACAACAACCACCAAUGCCUCCUCCACCGCCACCACCAGCUCCACCCUGGGACAAGCACCGGGAAUUCAUGAGCCACAGGCCACCUACAUUCUCUAGCUCUCUAGACCCCCUACAUGCUAAUGACUGGCUGAAAUCAGUGGAAAAGAUGCUCAAUAUCGCCCAAUGCUCUGAUCAGGAGAAGGUGCUCUAUGCUUCCGGUCAUCUUACUGGCCUCUCUGCUGAUUGGUGGGACUCGUACACUGCUGCUCAUGAUGCUGCCAAUACUAUUACAUGGGCAAAAUUCGCUUCACAGUUCAGAAACUAUCAUAUUCCGGCUAGCUUGAUGAAAAUAAAGAAGAAGGAAUUUCUAUCACUGAAGCAAGGCAACUUGUCAGUCAGUGAAUAUCGUGACAAAUUUAUUCAGCUAUCGAGGUAUGCUCCGGAUGAGGUUGCUGAUGAUGAAAGAAAGUAGGAGCACUUCAUGGAGGGACUCAUUAGGCCACUCUAGUACCAGUUGGUUUCUCACACCUUCCCAUCUUUGCAGAGGCUUCUGGACAAGACUAUAGUCGUUGAACACAAACAUGUUCAGCUAGGCAAGAUGAAAAGGAAGGCUAUUACCUAGGGACAGGGGAGCAGUAGCAUCCACCCUCGCUAUGUUCCACCCUAAGGUACACAAGCUCGUACCGGAGGUGGGAAACAGUCCUAUCAGCGAUCUGCUCAACAGACACCGCAGGCGACACCAUAGACUCAGCAGACUCAUCAGGAUGCCCCCACUAGCACCCCGGUGAGACCUACGGGCCAGGGCACUGCUACAGGCACCACAUGCUUCAAGUGUGGCAUGGCUGGUCACUAUGCUAAUGUUUGUCCGACGAGGAACCCCAAGACACCGACUCGUGGUAAUUCUUAGGGCUAGCAGACACAGACUCCAGGCAGCAACCGUGGUUACAGCGUUGCCAGGGUUAACCAAAUUAAUGUUGAAGCUACUGAGGAUGGUCCUAACAUCGUCAUUGGUAUGUUUUUCAUUAAUUCAGUACCAGCUACUAUACUUUUUGAUUCUGGAGCUUCGCAUUCGUUCAUAUCUACCUGUUAUGUUCAUGCAAAUAGUAUACUUACCUUGCACUGCGUAGACCUAUGAUAGUCAUUACACCUAAAGGGGCUUAUGAAGCAACAUAUAUGAGUCAUAAAAUAGAAGUAACAAUUUUGGGAAGAAAAUUUUGGGCUAUGCCUAUAAUGCUAGAAGAGAGUGCAAUAGACUUAAUCCUUGGCAUGAACUGGAUAAAACAAUGGAAGGCAGUAAUACAUUAUGCUAGAGGAACAGUAGAACUUACUAAUCCUGAUGGGGAUAGAUUUGAAGUCACAGUUGCACCACCCACAUCUAACAAUCCUGUUGUAUACAUGAUCAAUGGUAAAUUUGUGGGAGAUCACAUCAAAAUUGUUAGAGAAUUUCUAGACGUCUUUCAAGAGGAGUUACCCAGAAUACCACCAGAUAGGGAGGUUGAGUUUGUGAUUGAUCUCUUACCUGGGACCGCUCCUAUUUCUAAAAGACCAUACAUGAUGUUAGUGGAAGAAUUAAAAGAACUUAAGAAACAACUAAAAUAAUUACAGGAAGCGAGGUACAUUCGACCGAGUUCCUCACCUUGGGGAGCACCAGUUCUGUUUGUACAGAAGAAGGAUGGAUCACAAAUGAUGUGUGUGGAUUAUAGAUCACUUAAUGAUGUAACAAUCAAGACUAAGUAUCCUUUACCUCAUAUUGAAGAUUUAUUUGAUCAGAUGAUAGGUGCUAGGGUAUUCUCUAAAGUUGAUCUCAGAUCGGGAUACCAUCAAAUGAAGAUUAGGCCAUGUGAUAUUCCCAAGACGACUUUCUCCACCCGAUAUGGUCUAUACGAGUUCACAGUCAUGUCGUUUGUCUUAACUAAUGCCCCAGCCUACUUCAUGAAUAUGAUGAACAAGGUGUUCAUGGAGUAUCUUUAUAGGUUCGUCGUGGUAUUCAUCAAUUCUAUUCUGAUAUAUUCCAAGAAUGGUAGUGACCAUGAGGAACAUCUGCGAUUGGUACUACAAAAGCUGAGGGAUAAUCAACUCUAUGCCAAGUUUAGCAAGUGUGAAUUCUGGCUCGAUGAAGUACCAUUCCUUGGGCAUAUCAUCUCCAACGGUGGAAUCUCCGUGGAUCCGGCUAAAGUAACGGAGAUAGUAGGUUGAAAGAUACCAAAAAACAUUCACUAAGGUCUGUAGUUUCCUAGGACUCGUGGGUUAUUACCGACGUUUUAUUGAAAGAUUCCCCAAGAUAGCGAAGCCUAUGACCUCACUAUUGGAGAAAGGGAAAGAGUUUAAGUGGACUCAUGAAUGCCAAGAGAGUUUCAAUCAACUGAGGUUUAGAUUGUUGUCACCCCUAGUGUUGAUUAUGCCAGACCUGUAGAAGGGAUUUGACAUAUAUUGUGAUGCAUGCUGCCAGGGCUUGGGAUGUGUUCUUAUGCAAGAAGGACAUGUCACUGCCUAUGCGUCUCGCCAUUUGCGGAAGCAUGAGCUGAACUAUCGCACUCAUGACUUAGAACUGGUAGCUAUAGUGCAUGCUCUCAAGAUUUGGAGGCAUUACAUUAUGGGGACCAAAUGCCAAGUCUAUACUGAUCACAAGAGCUUAAAGUAUAUCUUCACUUAGAAAGAUCUCAACCUUAGGCAACACCGUUAGUUGGAGCUAAUCAAAGACUAUGACUUGGAGAUCCACUAUCAUCUGGGCAAGGUGAAUCUAGUUGCGGAUGCCUUGAGUCGGAAAGAACACACUCAUGCAGCUAUAGUCACCCAAUUACCCGAUGAGCUAGUUGCGGACUUUGAAAGACUCAACUUGGGGAUAGUUGCACAUGCUGAAGGGAUCACCAUAUAAGUGGAACCUACCUUAGAGCAAGAAAUACGUAAGGGUCAGAUCGAAGAUGCUAAAAUUCAAGAAAUCAAAGAUCCGAUGGCAGAAGGUAGGGGUCCUGACUUCAUGGAGGAUGAGCAAAGCACAAUAUGGUUCAAGAACAGGAUAUGUGUUCCUGAGAUUGACAGUCUCCGUGAAACCAUUCUGAAGGAAGCCCAUGAUUCUGAUUACUCUAUUCGUUCUGGUAGCACCAAAAUGUAUCAAGAUCUGAAACAGAAAUACUGGUGGUAUGGGCUAAAAAGGGAUGUUGCCUCACAUGUGGCGGUUUGUGAUGUUUGCUAGAGGGUAAAAGCUGAACAUAAGAGACCAGCUGGAUUACUCCAUCCGCUAAAGAUACCCGAGUGGAAGUGGGAAGAAAUUGGUAUGGAUUUCAUCGUUGGUCUACCCCGCACUUCUACAGGGUAUGACUCCAUUUGGGUAAUUGUGGACAGACUAACCAAAGUGGCUCACUUCAUCCCCGUGAGGACUACUUACCGGGAGCCAAGCUAGCUGAGUUGUAUAUGGCAAGAAUAGUUUGUUUGCAUGGAGUACCUAAGAAGAUCGUGUCUGACCGAGGAUCCCAGUUUACAUCUCGGUUCUGGCAGAAGCUACAUGAGAGCCUUGACACAAAGUUGAACUUCAGCUUGGCCUACCAUCCUCAAAUUGAUGGUCAAACUGAGAGGACUAAUCAGGUAUUAGAAGACAUGUUGAGAGCUUGUGCUCUAAAGCAUGGUGGUAGUUGGGACAAGAGUCUACCAUACGCAGAGUUUCUCUUACAACAACAAUUAUCAGACUAGUCUCAAGAUGUCUCCAUUUGAAGCUUUAUAUGGCAGAAAAUGUAGGACUCCUAUGUAUUGGGAUCAGACUGGUGAAAGAUAAUUAUUUGGUCUUGAAAUUAUUCAAGAGGCAGAAGGACAAGUCCAUAUGAUCCGGGAGAACUUGAGGAUAGCACAGACCCGACAUAAGAGCUAUGUUGAUAAUAGAAGACCACUGUAAUUCGAAGAGGGUGAUCACGUAUACUUAAAGGUGUCACCGAUUUGUGGAAUGAGAAGGUUUAAAGUUAAAGGCAAGUUAUCCCCUCACUUUAUUGGACCUUUCAAGAUCCUUAAGCGAGUUGGGGAGAUGGCAUACCGGCUUGAGCUACCGGAUCAUCUGUCUGAUGUACAUGAUGUGUUUCAUGUAUCUCAACUCAAGAAAUGUCUCUGUGUCCCGGAAGAACAGUUGCCAAUGGAAGAACUUAGUGUGCAGGGAGAUCUGACCUACACUGAGCAUCCUAUCAAGAUCCUUGACACUUUGACUCGUGUUACAAGAAGCAAAGUGAUAAAAAUGUGUAAAGUGCAAUGGAGUCAUCAAGGUGAAAAAGAAGCUACUUGGGAAAGAGAAGAAGAGCUACGAAUAGAAUUUCCCCACCUCUUCCCUAGUUCAUCUUAAUCUCGAGGUCGAGAUUAUUUUUAAUGGGGGUAGAAUUUGUAAUAUCCAAAUAUUGGGAGGAAUAAACUGUACAGGGAAUUGGGGAAACAGAAAAGGUUUAUUUGACUACUUAUGUGAAUUUCCUCAUUUUUGCAUCAAGUAUAUUAAAUAAAGAAAAUAGUGCAUCAUGUUGGAGUUUAAUUGUUUGUGCAUUUAAUAAUAAUAAUAACAUUAAUAAGAAUACAUUAAUAAUGAGAAUUAGGGUCAAACCUAAUAUAAACCCUUGAAGUUGGAAAUAAUAUAUAAAAGAAAGAGAAGAAAAGGAAACCCUAUAUUCACUAUGAAGAAAAAAAAUAUAUAGAUAAAUGUGCCUUUUCGUACUGGCAUCAUUGAUUUGAAUAUUUAAUCAAAAUUACAAAUUCACAAACCAAGAUUUGAAUUCAGUUGAAUAUUUGAAUUCAAUGUGAAUCUUUGAAAAUUGGGAGAAGAAAUAGAAAAGAAAAAGAGAAACCGCUACCUAGGCCAAUACCUCCGGAACUGGCCCAAUUCUCCUCUGCGCGCGGCCCAGGUGCUGGUUCUGAUAGCUUAACCCCACCGACCAGCCUCACACCGCGCGGAUAUAGCAGCGAAGCAUGCGCUGACAUGCGGGGCCACCUGCGCAGCCACUCAUUGCGCAAAAACGCUGACGCUCUCUGUCACCGAUCCCCACUUGUCAGGAGGACACUGUGUAUCUUCCCCCUCCGCCCCCGCAACGAACCUCCGACUAAUCCGCCGUGCCUUGGACCGCAGCUGGCGCCUUGACCGAUCCUCCGGGUGAUUAUAAAACUGCGCGCCAAACCCUAACCCCCAUCCCCUCUCACCGCGCACAAAUCCAUCAUCAUCGGCGAGGGCAGUGUCGAACUGUGUGCCACCAUCGUCGAUCCCCGGCACUGACUCCGUUGAGGACUCGAAGUUGGGUGGUAGAGUUUCGCCAUUGCUCCUGUCGGGUGUUCAUGGCGGGAUUGGGCGAGAUCGGCCAUUGGGGGCGACCGCAAUUGCUCAUCGAUGAUCGUGACGAGCAGCGGAUCUGCCCAUCACCACGACCAGCACCAACUAGACGUCCAUUUGCGGUAAGAUGCAUACCCGUGUGUUCGUCAUACCCUGUUCUCUGUAUAACCCCGAGCCACGAUAGAAUAGGAGCACUGUGUGGCUGGAUCGCCCAACUCUGGCGAUCCCCCGCCAUGGAUGGUGGCGGCGCCGCCAUCGGGUAGCCUGUUAGGGGAGGGCGAAGUUUGAGCGUUGAUCUAAUGAUGAACGGUUCGGAUUUGGUCCUGUCAUACCGGUUCGGGCGGGAGAUCUAGGCCAUUGGGAUCUGAUUGGGUGGAUCUGGGGGCUCUGAGUUAUUUAAAUCUGCACCGUUAGAUUUUGAUCGGGCGGCCCACGUUGAACGAUACCCCUUCGCCCAACCCUUUUGCUAAAGAGUCCCUGACUAAAGUAGAAAUCAACCCACAGUCCUAUGCGUGUUAAGAAACCUAUACCCUGAGCCUUAUAAACUUUGCAAGAUAGCCCCUAAACUCUUUUGUAUUACUAUGUGCAGUCUAGGGUGCUGUUAAAAGGAAUAAAAAUUAUAGCAAAUGAGUUUUUAUAUUAAAACAAUUGUAGAAACUUGUUUAAAUCAUAAUAAAUCCAUUUUAACUCCUUUUUGAUCCAUUCCAGCUGUAUUAAUUUUGUAUUGAUAUUGUCUAUCAACUAGUAACUCUGUUUAUUCAUGAAGCAUAGACUAAAAUUAUUCAUUUGGCUUAGUCUAUAUCAACCACUUAAUAACUUCGGAAAUUCAUAACUCGAUAAUUGUAACUCCAAAUUUAGUGAUUCUUGUUCCUACGAUCUCGUUACGAUGCGUAGAAUACUAUUAUGCAAUAUGAUCUCAUGUUUGGUGUGAUGUUAAUUUCUCCUAUACUAUGUCUGUUUGUAUUGUUGCGAGUAGACGAGCAAGCCACUUAGGACCCCGGUGUUCAGCAGGCGGAUAAUUCUGAACAGGAGCUCGUUGAAGGCAAGUCGUGCCCUUGACCACUUUUAUUUACCCAAUAAUGUUCUCUUUAAUCACUAUGGCAUGCUUAGGCUUAAUUUUAAUGGGACCCAAUAGGUAGGGAUGGCAAUCGGGCGGGUAGUACACGGAUAUAUAGUUCGCAAAUCCAUACCCACGAGACAAAACUCAACCCAUACCCAUACCCAUAAACGUUCGUGGGUAUGGAUCUGUAUCCAUACCCGUACCCGCCGGGUAUCCGCUAUCCAGUGGAUACCCGUUACCCGCCCGCCCACUACAAUUUUAGCAUUAAACACCAAACAACAAUUUUAUUAUAUUUUAAAAUAAUUAUCAUUCUAAUAGCAUUAAAUGAUAAUUUCAGCACCAAACAACAUGUUAUGGAUAAAAGUUGAAAAAUAAGAAUUUAUGAUAAUAUAUAAAUCCGGAUGGCCCACAUGUUAGAUAUCCAUUGGGUAACGGGUAUGGAUACUGGAUAUCCAUACCCGCGAAAAAAUAUCCGCGGAUACCUUAUUAUAUCCAUAACCAUACCCGCGGAUAUCAAAUUCCACCAUACCCAUAUCCAAUGGAUAAUUAUCCGCGGUUAUUUACCCAUACCCGUACCCAUUGCCAUCCCUACCAAUAGGUCACCCUAGUCUGCUUUAUCAUGUGCCUUGAUCACCACUGAACAUGUUUGGGUAGUCUUGCUAUUGCUAUGUAUGGCUUUGGGUGUUGAGAUAAAUUUGACACAUGAUCAUUCUUUAUUAUUGUUGUUGAUUAGUUAUUGUUCAUGAUAAGAUUACUGUGUUAAUUGGAACAUGGAGAACCACCCGGGAAAAAUAGUGCUACCACAAGUGUGGAAUGGGACACCCUUGGCCAAGUAAUAUUAGGAAAACUAGGGAGAGAUUACCUUACCUAAAAGGGGCAAGCGGGUGGCGUCGCUACAGAAUAUAGGGAGGUUCUCGGGUCGGAUUGCCUGGCUUUCCAGACGAGGGAUUCCUAUGCUUCGUUCUUCCUGAAUCCGUAGCGCAUUUUCUCGAACUAGUGGAACUUUGGAAAGGCCUCGUAGUGCUACCAUGCCUCGUCUCCUCGGUAGAGAUGAAUGGGAAGUCGCAAUCCCUUGGCAAAUGGGUAACAUGACUUGUGGGUAAAGAUGCGCAACCUCUGCAGAGUGUAAAGUUGGUAUAUCAGUCAUGCUCACGGUCAUGAGCGGCUCUAACACUCACAUGAUUAAUUUAUGAAAGUUAAAUUUAAUUUUUUAUUUGCAUCGCAUUGUGAUUUAUUAUUAACUUUGAUCUACUAUUACUUUGGGUUGGUAUUUACUUACAUUUAGUAACUGCUAAUAAAAUUUGACCAACUUGUUAAAAACAAUGCUUAGCUUUAACCAUUAUUGUUGAUCAGCCUUACACUUCACAUGCACUCCCACCUUUGGUGAGUUCAUGCACAUGGUUCCCCGCAACUUGUUGAGCUAUGAUCUUUUGUGAGCUCACUCUUACGAUAUAUAAACCCCCACAGGUGAAGAGCAUGUGGUCCAAGAGGAGCCCUACAACGAGGAAUAUGAGCUUAUCUAGGUGGCGUCUCCGAGUUAGCUUGAUGGCGCCAAGGAAUAAUACUUAGUUCACUUUAUUGUUCUCAUUUAUUUAUGUAAGACUUCUGCUAUGUAAUAAUGAUACUUGUGACAUUAUUCACUAUACACUUUGUCAUUAUAUGUGGUGUUCUUCUUUGACGCACAUAUGAGACGCACCCGGCUUUACCCCUUAAAUCCGGGUGUGACACUGCUUUUGCCAAC